GAUGAACGCUGGCGGCGUGCUUAACACAUGCAAGUCGAGCGAGAAGUUUUGAAAAGAUUCUUCAGAUGAAAUUUAAAAUGGAAAGCGGCGGACGGGUGAGUAACGCGUAGGCAACCUGCCCCAUACAAAGGGAUAGCAUUUGGAAACGAAUAUUAAUACCUUAUGAAACUUAACUAGUGCAUGCUAGGUAGGUCAAAGAUUUAUCGGUAUGGGAUGGGCCUGCGUCUGAUUAGCUAGUUGGUGAGGUAACGGCUCACCAAGGCGACGAUCAGUAGCCGACCUGAGAGGGUGAACGGCCACAUUGGAACUGAGACACGGUCCAAACUCCUACGGGAGGCAGCAGUGGGGAAUAUUGCACAAUGGGGGAAACCCUGAUGCAGCAACGCCGCGUGAACGAUGAAGGCCUUUGGGUCGUAAAGUUCUGUUCUAGGUGAUGAAAACUGACAGAACCUAGAGAAG
rnacentral:rRNA from 1 species